GGGUUCAUCCCAAGAAACCUCCGCAAAACAGAGGGAAACAAUUAGAUUUGGGUUAUAGUUGUCACAUUACGAAAUCACAAAAAGAUUUCACUUCAGCUGCUAUUGAGUGACAGUGGGAAUCAAACUGCAGCCUCCUCCAGUUUCUGAAGCUGCCGCAAUAGCGUUUGAAAGCAGCAGGUAUCUGACUAGUUCCCACUAGUUCCUCAAGGAGAGUCUAUACCGAAAGAGACAAUCACUUUCUAAAACAUUGGUCCUGGGUGGGAAUGGGGUAGAUUAUUGUUAACUCCCAGUCUGUUUUCUCCCUAUGAAAAGAGUCUAACACUUGAGAUGUGUGUCUUACAUCUGCAACAGUUAUGCCGUUAAUAGUAAAGAUGCCUCAGAAAAUACCGCAGGGUAGCGCUCCCAUACCUCUGAGAAGGCGGGGCUGGCUGUGUGCAUCUUGUCUCCUAAGACUGUUUUCUGUUGUGACCUUAACUAUAAAUACCUAUAUAUAGGAGUAGGAUGUUCUCCCCCCCCCCCAAGCCUUCUUCAAUCAUCACAUGUGAACCCUCCCUUCCCCUUUACUGAAAAAAACAAAAACAAAAAAACAAAAACAAGAAGUAUGCACUUUAAUUCCUAAGGAGUGUGGCUGAAGCCAGAUCACUCAGGAGGGAAGCUGAGGGAAAACUGUUGCCAGACCUUGUUGGGUUUAACCACAUUUCUUUGUCCUUUACCCCAUAGUGCUGGGGAUUGAGCCCAGGGCCUUACAUAGGCUAGGCAGCUGCUGCUCCAGGAUCAGAUAUCUUAAUGUGAACACAAAAUGACGCGUUUUUAAAGCUGUCCCCAAGUGCUCCCUGCCAAAGGGCAAAAGAACCACUAAAUAAGAGUUCAAAAUACCUACCCUGAUUUUGGAAUUUUUUUCUGGGGGAAAUUUUAUUUUCACUGAAUUAUUUUUUUAGCUGCCAAAUUAUAUCUUUAAAAAAUCGUGUUUUGUGGUAAGUUCCUUUUUCUUUUCUUUUUCUUUCUUUUUUUUUUUUUUGGAAUAAAAAAAUCAAGCGGAAACAAUGGCACUAAAAUAUUAUCCAGAAUUGUGUCACAUCUAAGUACUGGGCUUGGUUCCCCCUGUGUGACAGGGGACCCUGACUCUCCUCCUGUAGAUUCUGUCUUUCCCUGGACAAGCCAAUCGUUCUUGGAGGGGCAGCAUGUCUCCUAGAGCCCCUGGAGCCCUAUUGUGUCGGGGAGGGGGGGAGGGCACGGGGGUCAAGGGAGGGGGAGAUUCAAAGAAGAGUUAAGAUGUGGGUUUAUAUAAACAUAUUUAAAGCAGUUAGCAAAAGCUUUCUCGUUGAACAGCUUUAAGAACAAUGUGAAUGAAAUCUUAGCGACUUGGCUAGUAAUCUGAGAAGUCUAUUAAUGUAUACUUGAAAUUGUUUGUAUAAAAAUGCAUUUCUCUUUAUUUUGACACUGUGUAUAAGAACAUUAUGCAUGUGAGUGGUUUGAGAAAUAAAACGUUUAAUACUCU
rnacentral:lncRNA from 1 species